rnacentral:rRNA from 1 species
GACGAACGCUGGCGGCGUGCCUAAUACAUGCAAGUAGAACGCUGAAGGAGGAGCUUGCUUCUCUGGAUGAGUUCCGAACGGGUGAGUAAGGCGUAGGUAACCGGCCUGGUUGCGGCGGAUAACUAUUCGUAACGAUAGCUAAUAUCGCAUAAUAGUAGAUGUUGCAUGACAUUUGCUUAAAAGGUGCAAUUUCAUCACUACCAGAUGGACCUGCCUUGUCUUAGCUACUUGGUGAUGUAACAGCUCUACAAGGCAACGAUACAUAGCCGACCUGAGAGGGGGAUCCGGCCACCUGGGAUGGAGACACCGCCCAGGCUCCUACGGGAGGCAGCAGGAGGGGAACUUCGGACAAGGACGGAAGUCUGAACGAGGCAAGCCGCGUGGGUGAAGAAGGUUUUCGGGUCGUAAAGCUCUGUUUUAUGGGAAGAAAGAGUGUGAGAGUGAAAAGUUCACACUGUGACGGUAUCUUACCAGAAAGGAACGGCUAACUACGUG